rnacentral:rRNA from 1 species
ACAAGCAGCGGAGCGUGUGGUUUAAUUCGAUGCAACGCGAAGAACCUUACCAGGCCUUGACAUCCUGCGAACUUUCUAGAGAUAGAUUGGUGCCUUCGGAGCGCAGUGACAGGUGUUGCAUGGCUGUCGUCAGCUCGUGUCGUGAGAUGUUGGGUUAAGUCCCGCAACGAGCGCAACCUUGUCGUUAGUUACCAGCGGGUCAAGCCGGGGACUCUAGCGAGACUGCCCGUGAUAAACGGGAGGAAGGUGGGGAUGACGUCAAGUCCUCAUGGCCCUUACGCGCUGGGCUACACACGUGCUACAAUGGCGGUGACAGUGGGCAGCAAACCCGCGAGGGUGAGCUAAUCUCCAAAAGCCGUCUCAGUUCGGAUUGUUCUCUGCAACUCGAGAGCAUGAAGGCGGAAUCGCUAGUAAUCGCGGAUCAGCAUGCCGCGGUGAAUACGUUCCCAGGCCUU